UCUGUUUGAUCCUGGCUCAGGAUGAACGCUGGCGGUAUGCUUAACACAUGCAAGUCGAACGAGAGUUUUUAACUCUAGUGGCGAACGGGUGAGUAAUACGUGAGAAUCUGCCCUUAGGAGAAGAAUAACUACUGGAAACGGUAGCUAAGUCUUCAUAUGCCGAGAGGUGAAAUAGUUUUAACUGCCUAAGGAUGAGCUCACGCCUGAUUAGCUUGUUGGUGAGGUAACGGCUUACCAAGGCCACGAUCAGUAGCUGGUUUGAGAGAACGAUCAGCCACACUGGGACUGAGACACGGCCCAGACUCCUCCGGGAGGCAGCAGUGAGGAAUCUUCCGCAAUGGGCGAAAGCCUGACGGAGCAAUACCGCGUGAGGGAUGAAGGAUUUUGGUCUGUAAACCUCUUUUCUCAAGAAAGAAGUUCUGACGGUACUUGAGGAAUAAGCAUCGGCUAACUCCGUGCCAGCAGCCGCGGUAAUACGGGGGAUGCAAGCGUUAUCCGGAAUCAUUGGGCGUAAAGCGCCUGUAGGUUGUUUAAUAAGUCUGUUGUUAAAGACUAGGGCUCAACCCUAGAAAAGCAAUGGAAACUACUAGACUAGAGUAUGGCAGGGGUAGAGGGAAUUUCUAGUGUAGCGGUGAAAUGCGUAGAUAUUAGAAAGAACACCGGUGGCGAAAGCGCUCUACUGGACCAUUACUGACACUCAGAGGCGAAAGCUAGGGUAGCAAAAGGGAUUAGAUACCCCUGUAGUCCUAGCCGUAAACGAUGGAUACUA
rnacentral:rRNA from 1 species